GAGAGUAAGCGUGCGGUUGCGAAAUUUGUCUCAAAAUUAACGAAAGGCGAUCACGAGAACAAGUUUUGAGGAAAGUCCGGGCUUCCAUGAAGAUCAGGCUGCUGGAUAACGCCCAGUGCGAGCGAUCGUGAGGAUAGUGCCACAGAAAAAUACCGCCAGAACUCAAGUAAAAAGUAAAAAGGUAAAAGGAAAAAUGUUUUUUACUUUUUACUUUUUACUUUUAUCUUUUUACUUGAUCUGGUAAGGGUGCAAAGGUGCGUUAAGAGCGCACCAGCAGGGUCGUGAGGCUCUGGCUCGGUAAACCCCAGUUGGAAGCAAGGCGAGAGGAUACAAGUGUUGCGAUCUUCAAUUGAUCUUGUGUCCGUUGCUUAAUGGGGUUGCAUGGCGAAAGCUAGGCGAUCGCUGUUAAGUGUGUGCCGCAUGAGGUAUUUGGUAACAAAUAUCCCAGAUAGAUAACCGCUAGGAUAGUUGUAAAAAACUCCUGAAACAGAACCCGGCUUAUGUCUUACUCUUCCUC
rnacentral:RNase_P_RNA from 1 species